CCCACCUGGCAUGGAAACAGAUCGUCAGGCAAGUUCAAGAACCUGUGGGCCACUCUGCGCAUUCUGUUGCAUAUAUAGCACGGUAGAAUGUACUUUGAGGUUGGAUUUUCAUUGAGCGCCAAAUACAUUAACUGUUGCAAUACAUUCCUGUAUAACAUUUAUGUCACACACAUGUAUAAAAAGAUACAAGAACUGAAAGGUUUGGUUUUGACCUUUAAUUAAGCCAGUAAUUUUAUUUAAGCCGAAGCUAAAAGAAUAACACGACUAUGGUAGCCGGUUUAUACACACUUGUAUGUUCGUAAAAGAUACUAAUGUGCGUGGCUCUGUUAAUGCGCGCGCGAGCAUGUUCUCGUACACAUUCGUGGGACCGAUUUGUAAAGGGCAACGGCCUCGUGUGGCCCCAUCGAGUUCAUUUCCCCGUUCCUCUGUCUCAGCCGCCGCUUAUUACCGUAACCUUGCCCUUGCUCUUACAUUUCCGCCACACUCGAACUUCGCGGAUUGUCUUCCUGGUUCGCCUUGAAUGGCGCCUUCUGACGGGACGCAUUGUAAAUCGAACUUCGGUUCCACCGAGAUUCAGGGAUUUCAAUACCGUCUAGGUUUGGUAAACCGAUAAAAAGCUAAUCAUCGAUGCCUGCUCAUUGGGUAAACAGAGAUAAAUUCCAUGAUAUUCGAGAAGCUUCUGCAACUUGAACGUUUC